GUAGUGAAAGAAUGUAAACACUGUACUUCCGCAAAUGGGUUGAGUGAUGUUAAAACGCAGAUGGUUAUGACCAGGAUUGUAGGUACGCAGUCCGUACUACCUCCUCCACAGGCGUUUUGUUAUUAACUACCUCCGUGCGUUCGCGAUAAUUUAAGUGUGUGGGGAUUUGUGGGCGGGGCGAGAAAGGCGGGGAAACGCCUGCUGAAUAAUUUUCGAUUCUUGGGAUUAAGGUGGCUCGCUACACUUUUUAAAAAUUAAAGAUUUUCUGAUUUGGAUAUGAAUUUCUGGAGAAUUAUUAUUUGUUUAAUCUGAAAACAAAGAGUACCUGACUUGUAUAACACAAUAGGUAAGGAGUUCAGAAUUUUUAAAAAAUUACUCCUAACUGCCGUUGCUAUGGCAACAAUGACGUCACAACAUGGUGGAUAUUUUGUGUUUAAAGUAAUUCAAUUCGAAAAAACCUGG